rnacentral:rRNA from 1 species
GACGAACGCUGGCGGCGUGCCUAAUACAUGCAAGUAGAACGCACAGUUUAUACCGUAGCUUGCUACACCAUAAACUGUGAGUUGCGAACGGGUGAGUAACGCGUAGGUAACCUGCCUGGUAGCGGGGGAUAACUAUUGGAAACGAUAGCUAAUACCGCAUAAUAUUGAUUAUUGCAUGAUAAUUGAUUGAAGGAUGCUAUUGCAUCCCUACCAGAUGGACCUGCGUUGUAUUAGCUAGUAGGUGAGGUAACGGCUCACCUAGGCGACGAUACAUAGCCGACCUGAGAGGGUGAUCGGCCACACUGGGACUGAGACACGGCCCAGACUCCUACGGGAGGCAGCAGUAGGGAAUCUUCGGCAAUGGACGAAAGUCUGACCGAGCAACGCCGCGUGAGUGAAGAAGGGUUUCGGAUCGUAAAGCUCUGUUGUAAGAGAAGAACGGGUGUGAGAGUGGAAAGUUCACACUGUGACGGUAUCUUACCAGAAAGGGACGGCUAACUACGUG